rnacentral:rRNA from 1 species
UACAGAGGUCUCAAGCGUUGUUCGGAUUCAUUGGGCGUAAAGGGUGCGUAGGUGGCGGGGUAAGUCGGAUGUGAAAUCUCGGAGCUCAACUCCGAAAUGGCAUUGGAAACUACCCUGCUAGAGGGUCGGAGGGGGGACUGGAAUACUUGGUGUAGCAGUGAAAUGCGUAGAUAUCAAGUGGAACACCAGUGGCGAAGGCGAGUCCCUGGACGACUCCUGACACUGAGGCACGAAAGCUAGGGGAGCAAACAGG